rnacentral:rRNA from 1 species
AGCAGCCGCGGUAAUUCCAGCUCCAAUAGCGUAUAUUAAAGUUGUUGCAGUUAAAAAGCUCGUAGUUGAAUUUCGGGGUCAGCAGGUUGGUCGUGCCACUGGUAUGUACUGGCUUUGCUGAUUCCUCCUUCUUGUAGAACCGUAAUGCCAUUAAUUUGGUGUUGCGGGGAAACAGGACUGUUACUUUGAAAAAAUUAGAGUGUUUAAAGCAGGCUAACGCUUGAAUACAUUAGCACGGAAUAAUGAAAUAGGACGAGCGAUCCUAUUUUGUUGGUUUCUAGGAUUGACGUAAUGAUUAAUAGGGAUAGUUGGGGGCAUUAGUAUUCAAUUGUCAGAGGUGAAAUUCUUGGAUUUAUUGAAGACUAACUACUGCGAAAGCAUUUGCCAAGGAUGUUUUCAUUAAUCAAGAACGAAAGUUAGGGGAUCGAAGACGAUCAGAUACCGUCGUAGUCUUAACCAUAAACUAUGCCGACUAGGGAUCGGAUGAUGUUAUUUAUAAUGACUCAUUCGGCGCCUUAAA